rnacentral:rRNA from 1 species
CAGCCGCCGCGGGAAUACGUAGGUCCCGAGCGUUGUCCGGAUUUAUUGGGCGUAAAGCGAGCGCAGGCGGUUAGAUAAGUCUGAAGUUAAAGGCUGUGGCUUAACCAUAGUACGCUUUGGAAACUGUUUAACUUGAGUGCAAGAGGGGGGAGUGGAAUUCCAUGUGUAGCGGUGAAAUGCGUAGAUAUGUGGAGGAACACCGGUGGCGAAAGCGGCUCUCUGGCUUGUAACUGACGCUGAGGCUCGAAAGCGUGGGGAGCAAACAGGAUUAGAUACCCGUGUAGUCCCUGUCUCUUAUACA